rnacentral:rRNA from 1 species
GAUGAACGCUGGCGGCGUGCCUAAUACAUGCAAGUCGAGCGAACGGACGAGAAGCUUUCUCCUCUGAUGUUAUCGGCGGACGGGUGAGUAACACGUGGAUAACCUACCUAUAAGACUGGGAUAACUUCGGGAAACCGUAGCUAAUACCGGAUAAUAUAUUGAACUUCAUGGUUCAAAAGUGAAAUACGGUCUUGCUGUCACUUAUAGCUGGAUCCGCGCUGCAUCAGCUAGUUGGUAAGGUAACGGCUUACCAAAGCAACGAUGGAUAGCCGACCUGAGAGAGACGACGACCAGACGGGAACAGAGACAGAGUACAGACACCGGGAGGGAGAAGCGGCAGAGAAUCUUACGCGAUGAGGCAGAGGCGAACGGUGCAACACCGCGGGAGGGAUGAAGGACUUAGGAUGGGAGAACGAUGUUGGUAGGAGAGAACAAAUGUGUAAGUAACUGUGCAGAUCAUGACGGUACCGAAUGAAAAAGCCACGGCUAACUACGUG